rnacentral:rRNA from 1 species
AGAGUUUGAUCAUGGCUCAGGUAUGAACGCUAGCGGGAGCCUAACACAUGCAAGCCGAGCGGUAGAGAUUCUUCGGAAUCUUGAGAGCGGCGUACGGGUGCGGAACACGUGCGCAACCUACCUUUAUCUGGAGGAUAGCCUUUCGAAAAGGAAGAUUAAUACUCCAUAAUAUAUUGAUUGGCAUCAAUUGAUAUUGAAAGCUCCGGCGGAUAGAGAUGGGCACGCGCAAGAUUAGUUAGUUGGUGAGGUAACGGCUCACCAAGACGAUGAUCUUUAGGGGGCCUGAGAGGGUGAUCCCCCACACUGGUACUGAGACACGGACCAGACUCCUACGGGAGGCAGCAGUGAGGAAUAUUGGUCAAUGGGUGCAAGCCUGAACCAGCCAUCCCGCGUGAAGGACGACUGCCCUAUGGGUUGUAAACUUCUUUUGUAUAGGGAUAAACCUACCCUCGUGAGGGUAGCUGAAGGUACUAUACGAAUAAGCACCGGCUAACUCCGUG